UACGUAGGGGGGCAAGCGUUGUCCGGAAUCAUUGGGCGUAAAGAGCGUGUAGGCGGCCAGAUAAGUCCGCUGUGAAAUCUCGAGGCUCAACUUCGAGCUGUCGGUGGAAACUGUCUGGCUAGAGUCCGGAAGAGGAGAAUGGAAUUCCUGGUGUAGCGGUGAAAUGCGCAGAUAUCAGGAAGAACACCCGUGGCGAAAGCGGCGCACUGGACCACAACUGACGCUGAGGCGCGAAAGCUAGGGGAGCAAACAGG
rnacentral:rRNA from 1 species